rnacentral:rRNA from 1 species
UGAAACCGUGUGCCUACAACCGCUCAGAGCCCCUUAUGAGGGUGAUGAGGUGCUUUUUGUAGAACGAGCCAACGAGUUACGGUAUGUAGCAAGGUUAAGUACUUAAGGUACGGAGCCGAAGGGAAACCGAGUCUGAAUAGGGCGACUAGUUGCAUGCCGUAGACCCGAAACCGGGUGACCUAUCCAUGGCCAGGUUGAAGCGAGGGUAAAACCUCGUGGAGGACCGAACCACGUUGCUGUUGAAAAAGCAUGGGAUGAGCUGUGGAUAGCGGAGAAAUUCCAAUCGAACCCGGAGAUAGCUGGUUCUCUCCGAAAUAGCUUUAGGGCUAGCGUCGAGUAUGAGUAGUGGAGGUAGAGCACUGAAUGGGCUAGGGGGCAUAGCGCUUACCGAACCUUAUCAAACUCCGAAUGCCACAUA